rnacentral:rRNA from 1 species
GGUGCUGCAUGGCUGUCGUCAGCUCGUGUCGUGAGAUGUCGGUUAAGUCCGCUAACGAGCGCAACCCUCGCUGUGUGUUACAAGUGUCACACAGGACCGCCGGUCUUAAGCCGGAGGAAGGUGGGGAUGACGUCAAGUCAGCAUGGCCUUUAUGUCCAGGGCUACACACACGCUACAAUGGUCAGCACAAUAGGUAGCCAAGCCGCGAGGUGGAGCCAAUCCUCAAAGCUGGCCUCAGUUCAGAUCGCAGGCUGCAACCCGCCUGCGUGAAGCCGGAGUUGCUAGUAACCGCAGGUCAGCUAUACUGCGGUGAAUACGUUCCCGGGGCUU